rnacentral:rRNA from 1 species
UACAGAGGGGGCAAGCGUUGUUCGGAAUUACUGGGCGUAAAGGGCGCGUAGGCGGCCUUCUAAGUCGAACGUGAAAUCCCCGGGCUCAACCCGGGAACUGCGUCCGAUACUGGAAGGCUUGAAUCCGGGAGAGGGAUGUGGAAUUCCAGGUGUAGCGGUGAAAUGCGUAGAUAUCUGGAGGAACACCAGAGGCGAAGGCGGGUUACUGGGCUGAUACUGACGCUGAUGCGCGAAAGCUAGGGGAGCAAACGGG